CCUACGGGAGGCAGCAGUGGGGGAUAUUGCACAAUGGGGGAAACCCUGAUGCAGCGACGCCGCGUGGGUGAAGAAGCGUUUCGGCGCGUAAAACCCUAUCUGCAGGGAAGAAGAUGACGGUACCUGACCAAGAAGCCCCGGCUGACUACGGGCCAGCAGCCGCGGUACUACGUAGGGGGCCAGCGUUAUCCGGAUUUACUGGGUGUAAAGGGGGCGUAGACGGCAAUGCAAGCCAGGAGUGAAAGCCCGGGGCCCAACCCCGGGAUUGCGGUUGAAACUGCAUGGCUGGAGUACAGUAGGGGCAGGCGGAAUUCGUAGUGUAGCGGUGAAAUGCGUAGAUAUUAGGAGGAACACCGGUGGCGAAGGCGGCCUGCUGGACUGUGACUGACGUUGAGGCCCGAAGGUGUGGGGAGCAAACAGGAUUAGAUACCCGUGUAGUC
rnacentral:rRNA from 1 species